rfam:Botryobasidium botryosum FD-172 SS1 unplaced genomic scaffold BOTBOscaffold_74, whole genome shotgun sequence.
UGCCCCAUGGCCUAAUUGGUUAAGGCGUCCGACUGUUAGGACAACCGCAAAUCGGGAGAUUGAGAGUUCAAGCCUCUCUGGGGCAG